rnacentral:tRNA from 2 species
UCUAAUUUGGCAGAAUUUGAGUGCAAUAAAUUUAGGAUUUAUAAAUAUUUUAAACAUUAAUUAGUA